rnacentral:lncRNA from 1 species
GUUGAUUUUUAUGCUAAUAUAUAAAUUUUAAUAUUUAUUCAGCUUGGUCGAAUUAUUUCAAAUGUGGCACGAUUAAAGAGGGGCAUUUUAAAUUUAAUACUUGACAAGGCUGUUAAAAUUUUUAUAUUAUAAUUAAGAGAUGAAGUGAUCGCUAUAAACUUUAAUCCCCAAUCAAAUUAACUAUCACUGAUUGACAUAAAACAUUUUUAUAUCGAAUAUCGUGUGGAGCCGGAAAAUUCAUACAUAAAAUAUUUAAAAGAAUAUCUAUCGAUUAUUUUUAAAAUUGUGAUUAUUGAACAAAUCUUGUACAAUAGUCUAUUUAUAUCUUUUUUUAAUCGCAUUUUCAAUUAAUAAACUAUAGUUGUUCUUUUGAUAAAGGGACGAUCGGAGAUAUUAGAAAUAACAGGCUAGAAAAGCAAAAUUUCAUAGUAAUUAAGAGUUUGAGACCUGCUAAAUUUAAUUCUAAAAAUAUUAAUCAAAAUAACUAAAUAUACUCCAGUUAUAAUAAUUCCCAAUAAUCAAUAAAUAGAGAAUUUUAAAUAAUAAUUAUCAUUAAGAACUCAAAUUUACUCGUGCAACAAGUUAACUAUUACGCUGAGAUGGCUAAUUUCCAAU